CUACGGGAGGCUCCAGUGAGGAAUAUUGCACAAUGGGGGGAACCCUGAUGCAGCAACGCCGCGUGGAGGAUGACGCAUUUCGGUGUGUAAACUCCUUUUAUAUGUCAAGAAAAUGACGGUAGCAUAUGAAUAAGCACCGGCUAACUCCGCGCCAGCAGCCGCGGUAAUACGGGGGGUGCAAGCGUUACUCGGAAUCACUGGGCGUAAAGGACGCGUAGGCGGGUUGGAAAGUCAGGUGUGAAAUCCUACAGCUUAACUGUAGAACUGCACUUGAAACUUCUAAUCUAGAGUAUGGGAGGGGGAGAUGGAAUUAGUGGUGUAGGGGUAAAAUCCGUAGAUAUCACUAGGAAUACCUAAAGCGAAGGCGAUCUCCUGGAACAUUACUGACGCUAAGGCGUGAAAGCGUGGGGAGCAAACAGGAUUAGAUACCCGCGUAGUC
rnacentral:rRNA from 1 species